rnacentral:rRNA from 1 species
AGGGAUUGCCCUAGUAACGGCGAGUGAAGCGGCAACAGCUCAAAUUUGAAAUCUGGCUUCGGCCCGAGUUGUAAUUUGCAGAGGAUGCUUCUGGCGCGGUGCCUUCCGAGUUCCCUGGAACGGGACGCCACAGAGGGUGAGAGCCCCGUAUGGUCGGACACCAAGCCUGUGUGAAGCUCCUUCGACGAGUCGAGUAGUUUGGGAAUGCUGCUCUAAAUGGGAGGUAAAUCUCUUCUAAAGCUAAAUACCAGCCAGAGACCGAUAGCGCACAAGUAGAGUGAUCGAAAGAUGAAAAGCACCUUGAAAAGGGGGUUAAAUAGUACGUGAAAUUGUUGAAAGGGAAGCACUUGUGACCAGACUUGGGCCGGGCGGCUCAUCAGGGGUUCUCCCCUGUGCACUCCGCCCGGCACAGGCCAGCAUCGGUUCUCGUGGGGGGAUAAGACCGUUAGGAACGUAGCACCCUCCGGGGUGUGUUAUAGCCUGGCGGACGAUACCCCCGUGGGGACCGAGGUUCGCGCUCCGCAAGGAUGCUGGCGUAAUGGUCACCAGUGACCC